GGUGGACAAUGUACUGGUUUAACUUGUUAAAAUAAAGUUAAAGAAAUUUAACAAACAGAAGAGUUCAUUAGUUUUUCCAUUAAAAACACUUUCUUCAAAUACUUAUGUAUUUAUAUCAUUUGGAAAUUGACAUGAAAUAUUGUUAAAGAGUGAUGCAUACAGUGUUUGAGCAGGCUGUCUAGGAAUAGAACAACAACUGAAGUUGAUGGAAGAUACUGCAGAGUUUGGCAGGGAAAUAAUCCAACAGCAAAGCGGCUCUUUAAGCGCAUUUACCUAGAGGACUUACAGGGCUACAAAUUCAUGAGCACAUGUGAGCAGUAUACAAUGUACCUCAUACCAAAAAGGACCCGGAGGCAGUGACUGGUGUUCAAUAUUCUCAGAAGAAAAGGAAAAUGGCAGUGGAAGACUUGGACAAACAUUUUUAGCCUCUGUGUUAAGCCUGGCAGUCUGUGGCUGGUGACAUGUUUUAUUUUGGUUACUUCUUGUAAAAAAAAGACCAGUUAUUUAUUUUGUGAAUUGUAUUUUGUGUUUGUUUUUUGUCUUAAUUUAUUUGUUGUUUUUUUUAAUUUAGGAAUUUGAAACUUGGAUAAUUGAAUUAAGUUCGUGUUCAACAGUACUG